rnacentral:snRNA from 1 species
AGUAGAGUUGUAGAGAACAUA